AGUGAACGCUGGCGGCAGGCCUAACACAUGCAAGUCGAACGGCAGCACAGUAAGCGCUUGCUCUUACGGGUGGCGAGUGGCGGACGGGUGAGGCAUACAUCGGAAUCUACUUUUUCGUGGGGGAUAACGUAGGGAAACUUACGCUACUACCGCAUACGUCCUACGGGUGAAAGCAGUGGAUCUUCGCACCUUGCGCGAUUGAUUGAGCCGAUGUCGGAUUAGCUAGUUGGCGGGGUAAAGGCCCACCAAGGCGACGAUCCGUAGCUGAUCUGAGAGGAUGAUCAGCCACACUGGAACUGAGACACGGUCCAGACUCCUACGGGAGGCAGCAGUGGGGAAUAUUGGGCAAUGGGCGCAAGCCUGAUCCAGCCAUACCGCGUGAGUGAAGAAGGUCUUCGGAUUGUAAAGCCCUGUUGUUGGGGAAGAAAAGCAGCAGAUUAAUACCUCGCUGUUCUGACGGUACCUAAAGAGUAAGCAACGGCUAACUUCGUG
rnacentral:rRNA from 1 species